ACAUGCAGUCGAGCGAAUGGAUUAAGAGCUUGCUCUUAUGAAGUUAGCGGCGGACGGGUGAGUAACACGUGGGUAACCUGCCCAUAAGACUGGGAUAACUCCGGGAAACCGGGGCUAAUACCGGAUAACAUUUUGAACNGCAUGGUUCGAAAUUGAAAGGCGGCUUCGGCUGUCACUUAUGGAUGGACCCGCGUCGCAUUAGCUAGUUGGUGAGGUAACGGCUCACCAAGGCAACGAUGCGUAGCCGACCUGAGAGGGUGAUCGGCCACACUGGGACUGAGACACGGCCCAGACUCCUACGGGAGGCAGCAGUAGGGAAUCUUCCGCAAUGGACGAAAGUCUGACGGAGCAACGCCGCGUGAGUGAUGAAGGCUUUCGGGUCGUAAAACUCUGUUGUUAGGGAAGAACAAGUGCUAGUUGAAUAAGCUGGCACCUUGACGGUACCUAACCAGAAAGCCACGGCUAACUACGUGCCAGCAGCCGCGGUAAUACGUAGGUGGCAAGCGUUAUCCGGAAUUAUUGGGCGUAAAGCGCGCGCAGGUGGUUUCUUAAGUCUGAUGUGAAAGCCCACGGCUCAACCGUGGAGGGUCAUUGGAAACUGGGAGACUUGAGUGCAGAAGAGGAAAGUGGAAUUCCAUGUGUAGCGGUGAAAUGCGUAGAGAUAUGGAGGAACACCAGUGGCGAA
rnacentral:rRNA from 1 species